rnacentral:rRNA from 1 species
UACAGAGGUCCCAAGCGUUUGUUCGGAUUCACUGGGCGUAAAGGGUGCGCAGGUGGGUUGGCAAGUUCGAUGUGAAAGCCCCGGGCUUAACCCGGGAAUGGCAUUGGAUACUGCUGAUCUGGAGGAUCGGAGGGGGGACUGGAAUUCUUGGUGUAGCAGUGAAAUGCGUAGAUAUCAAGAGGAACACCAGUGGCGAAGGCGGUCUCCUGGGGCAUUCUUGACGCUGAGGCGCGAAAGCUGGGGGAGCGAACGGG